AUUGAACGCUGGCGGCAGGCUUAACACAUGCAAGUCGAACGAGUGGCGGACGGGUGAGUAAUGUUUGGGAAUCUGCCUUAUGGAGGGGGAUAACUACGGGAAACUGUAGCUAAUACCGCAUACCAUAGGAUGAGCCCAGGUGGGAUUAGGUAGUUGGUGGGGUAAUGGCUCACCAAGCCGACGAUCGCUUGCUGGUCUGAGAGGAUGACCAGCCACACUGGGACUGAGACACGGUCCAGACUCCUACGGGAGGCAGCAGUGGGGAAUAUUGCGCAAUGGGGGCAAGCCUGAUGCAGCCAUGCCGCGUGAAUGAAGAAGGCCUUCGGGUUGUAAAGUUCUUUCGGUAGCGAGGCGUUAACCACAGAAGAAGCACCGGCUAACUCCGUGCCAGCAGCCGCGGUAAUUC
rnacentral:rRNA from 1 species